UGAUCUAAACCAUCUCAUUUCUGCAACAAUGUCUGGAGUGACCUGUUGUCUGCGGUUUCCCGGUCAACUCAACUCUGACCUACGAAAGCUUGCAGUCAAUCUCAUCCCAUUCCCUCGUCUUCACUUUUUCAUGGUCGGUUUUGCCCCUCUAACCUCACGUGGGUCCCAGCAAUACCGUGCCCUAACAGUCCCUGAACUCACCCAACAAAUGUGGGACGCUAAGAACAUGAUGUGUGCAGCUGACCCACGUCACGGGCGUUACCUAACUGCUUCAGCCAUCUAUCGUGGGAAAAUGAGCACAA
rnacentral:lncRNA from 1 species